GGUAUUGUGUCGUUAUGGGGUAUUGUGUCGUCAUGGGGUAUUGUGUAUUAGGGGUAUUGUGUCGUCAUGGGGUAUUGUGUCAUUAUGGGGUAUUGUUGUCGUUCAUGGGGUAUUGUGUAUGGUUUAUUGGGGUCAUUGUGUGUAUGGGGAUUGUGUCAUUAUGGGGUUUGUGUCAUUAUGGGGUAUUGUGCGUUAGGUAUUGUGUUUAUUGGGGUAUUUGUGUCGAUGGGGUAUUGUUUCUUAUGGGGUAUUGUGUCGUCAUGGGGUAUUGUGUCAUACGGAGUAUUGUGUCAUUAUGGGGUAUUGUGUCGUUACUGGGUAUUGUGUCAUUAUGGGGUAUUGUGUCGUUAUGGGGUAUUGUGUCGUUACCGGGUAUUGUGUCGUUACCGGGUAUUGUGUCGUCACGGGGUUGGUUGUGGCUAUUGUGUCGUUACGGGUUGGUAUUGUGUCGUUACCGGGUAUUGUGUCGUUACGGGGUAUUGUGUCAUUAUGGGGUAUUGUGUCGUUAUGGGGUAUUGUGUCAUUACGGGUAUUGUGUCGUUAGGGGUGGUUUAUUGUGUCAUCACGGGGUAUGGUGUCAUGGGGUAUUGUGUCGUUAUGGGGUAUUGUGUCAUUAUGGGGUAUUGUGUCAUUAGGGGUAUUGUGUCGUCAUGGGGUAUUGUGUUCUUAUGGGUUAUUGUGUCGUUAGGUGGUUGUGUCAUUACGGGUUAUUGUGUCGUUAUGGGGUAUUGUGUCGUCACGGGGUAUUGUGUGUCAGGGGUAUUGUAUCAUUAUGGGGUAUUUGUGUAUUAUGGGUAUUGUGUCAUUAUGGGGUAUUGUGUCGUUAUGGGGUAUUGUGUGUCAUUUAUGGGGUAUUGUGUCAUUAUGGGGUAUUGAUGUCAUUUAUGGGGUUUAUUAUGUCGUUCUUAUGGGGUAUUGUGUCAUUACUGGGGUAUUGUGUCAUUAUGGGGGUAGUGUAUGUCUUAUGGGGUUAUAUGGUGGUAUUGUGUCGUAUGGGUUGUUGUUGUCGUUAUGGGGUAUUGUGUCGUUAUGGGGUAUUUGUGUAGUAUGGUUGUGUCACUUUGGGUAUUGUGUCAUUAUGGGGUAUUAUGUCGUUAUGGGGUAUUGUGUCGUUAUGGGUAUUGUGUCUAUGGGGGGUGUUGGUAUUGUGUCAUUAUGGGUUUAAUGGUUAUGUAUGUUAUGGGGUAUUGUGUCGUUAUGGGUAUUGUGUCAUUAUGGGGUGGUAUUGUGUCAUUAUGGGGUUAUUGUGUUCCAUUAUGGGGUAUUGUGUCAUAGGGGUAUUUGUAUACUUAUGGUGUAUU
rnacentral:lncRNA from 1 species